AUUGAACGCUGGCGGCAUGCCUUACACAUGCAAGUCGAACGGUAACAGGUCUUCGGAUGCUGACGAGUGGCGAACGGGCGAGUAAUACAUCGGAACGUGCAUGAUCGUGGGGGAUCAGGAAGCGAAAGCUUGGCUAAUACCGCAUACGAGCUACGGAUGAAAGCAGGAGACCGCAAGCCCUUGCGCGAACGGACCGGCCUAUGGCAGAUUAGGUAGUUGGUGGGAUACAAGCUUACCAAGCCAACGAGCUGUAGAUGGUCUGAGAGGACGACCAGCCACACUGGGACUGAGACACGGCCCAGACUCCUACGGGAGGCAGCAGUGGGGAAUUUUGGACAAUGGGCGAAAGCCUGAUCCAGCCAUGCCGCGUGCAGGAUGAAGGCCUUCGGGUUGUAAACUGCUUUUGUACGGAACGAAAAGACUCUGGUUAAUACCUGGGGUCCAUGACGGUACCGUAAGAAUAAGCACCGGCUAACUACGUGCCAGCAGCCGCAGUAA
rnacentral:rRNA from 1 species